rnacentral:rRNA from 1 species
GCAGUCGAACGAUGAACACCGGAGCUUGCUCUGGUGGGAUUAGUGGCGAACGGGUGAGUAACACGUGAGCAAUCUGCCCCCGACUCUGGGAUAACCCCGAGAAAUCGGAGCUAAUACUGGAUACGACACCUCCUGGCAUCAGGUGGGUGUGGAAAGAAUUUCGGUUGGGGAUGAGCUCGCGGCCUAUCAGCUUGUUGGUGAGGUAAUGGCUCACCAAGGCGACGACGGGUAGCCGGCCUGAGAGGGUGACCGGCCACACUGGGACUGAGACACGGCCCAGACUCCUACGGGAGGCAGCAGUGGGGAAUAUUGCACAAUGGGCGCAAGCCUGAUGCAGCAACGCCGCGUGGGGGACGAAGGCCUUCGGGUUGUAAACCUCUUUUGGCAGGGAAGAAGCGAAAGUGACGGUACCUGCAGAAAAAGCACCGGCUAACUACGUGCCAGCAGCCGCGGUAAUACGUAGGGUGCAAGCGUUGUCCGGAAUUAUUGGGCGUAAAGAGCUCGUAGGCGGUGUGUCACGUCUGCUGUGAAAAUCCAAGGCUCAACCUUGGACUUGCAGUGGGUACGGGCACACUCGAGUGCGGUAGGGGAGAUUGGAAUUCCUGGUGUAGCGGUGGAAUGCGCAGAUAUCAGGAGGAACACCGAUGGCGAAGGCAGAUCUCUGGGCCGUAACUGACGCUGAGGAGCGAAAGCGUGGGGAGCGAACAGGAUUAGAUACCCUGGUAGUCCACGCCGUAAACGGUGGGAACUAGAUGUGGGGUCCGUUCCACGGAUUCCGUGUCGCAGCUAACGCAUUAAGUUCCCCGCCUGGGGAGUACGGCCGC